rnacentral:rRNA from 1 species
UACGUAGGGGGCAAGCGUUGUCCGGAUUUAUUGGGCGUAAAGAGCGUGUAGGCGGCCAGGUAGGUCGGCUGUGAAAACUCGAGGCUCAACCUCGAGCUGUCGGCCGAAACCAUCUGGCUAGAGUCCGGAAGAGGAGAAUGGAAUUCCCGGUGUAGCGGUGAAAUGCGCAGAUAUCGGGAAGAACACCCGUGGCGAAGGCGGUUCUCUGGGACGGUACUGACGCUGAGACGCGAAAGCUAGGGGAGCGAACAGG